CGUGCGUGUGUCGACAGUCGUCAUUCAAUCAAGUUGACAAGGUUUUGUAGGAACGUUUGCUAACAUAUUUGGGUAAUUGUUACGGAUUUUACAAAAUUCAGAUUGGCAACGUUGUGCCGAAUGUCGUAUCCGGGAAAGGCGUAUGCAGCCCGGUGCCCCGCUUUGAGUCGUUCCGUGGAUCAUGCAAGUUUAAGGCUGCGCUAGCAUUUGUUCAUCGCUAUCAAUGGAAUAAUGUUCUUCGGAUGAAUAGAGAAAGCGCGCACAGAUUGGGAAUGUUUUGCCGGUUGUCUGAUCCGGAAGGUACCAUUGUAUGCAACUCAGUGCUCUGUUUGCGCUCGUUACGUUUCCCAUACAAGAUCAAGCUGCGCAAACAUCUGAUCAUUACCGCUAUGGAAUAGUGUUCACCGGACUGCAGAAAGCGCGCCCGAUUGCCAAUAUUCUGACCAUUUCUGAUCCGCGAAGGUACCAUCGUGUGCAACCUGAAAAAAAGGCCGCUAGCCGUAGAAAGCUGGCCCGUACGUCGGGUAAAUAUGCCCCUGUCAUUGACUAUUGGUUGGUUAUAACUGUUUCAUGUGCUGGCCGUAUCGUGAGGCAAACUUGCAGACCGAUCAGUAUUGCUGCUAUGAACCUCGUUGAACAUUCCCCAAGGUGAUUAAGGAUAAUCGGUGGAGCCUCUAUCGCCAAGCGAGGACCUUCAAGUUUGGUCUUGUUUACUGGCCGUUGUAUUGGUCGCCUACGAUGUGGCUAGAGAUUAAGAAGUAAAGCGUUAUCCGCAGAUGGCGGGUUGCAUCUUAGGUUGCUGUUGUAAAUACCAAAAAGCGUAAGAAUCGAUUUCCUGCUGUCACGUCCAUUACUCGUUGUUAAUGGUAAUCCAAAAGGAUGAGGCUGCGUGAAGAAUGUGGAAGUAGCCCCUUCUUCGAUCCAAUGACACGUCGCCAAUGGAUUUCGUCGCAGGAAUUCGCGAAAAUAUACCUAUACCUACCUAAAAUAUAGAACUUAUUUACAAGACAAUUUUUGAUUCCGG